GCUCGCUGUACUUCCACUCACUUGCGAAAUCGACGGCAACCCUGUUCGAAAAAGGGGCCGAACCAGCCGAACGCUGAGAUGCAAAGAAACUACGAAAUGCGGCGGACGCGUGGAGCAGUCAGCGUUGCCAGAUUAAAAAAGUGAUGAUUAUUGUUUACCACCGAAACUCUCCACACUUCACCUCUUAAGCAUCAACAAAACAAUAACAUAAAUAACUAUCGAACAGAAAGAGUGCAUUUACGAAAUAUCAUCCCUGGAAAUUUCAACCGGGUCUUCUUCAUGUCGAGAAGAAAGCAGUCAAAUCCUAAACCUCUGAAACAUUUUGACGAUAUUUGAAGUAGACUCCACUUAGCGAAAAACUGAAAAAAGCUCAAGAAGACAACAGAGAGAUCAUCACGUGAUUGAGGUGAGGAAAGAUAGAGAUACAAGCCAUAAUAGUCGGAGAAGCUGAGAACAUAAUUGGACCCUACUGGCUUUUCGCUGAUCUCUGUGGUUCUAAGGGGGAUGAAUCAUCGAAAGAAGAAAACAAGAUGAAUCUCCAGCAUUUUAUCUUUCG